rnacentral:rRNA from 1 species
CGGGGUGAGUAAAGGUAUAGGAACUUGCCUAAUAGUGGGGGGACAACAGUGUGGAAACGCAUGCUAAUACCGCAUACGCUCUACGGAGGAAAGCGGGGGAUCUUCGGACCUCGUGCUAUUAGAUAGGCCUAUAUAGGAUUAGCUAGUUGGUAAGGUAAUGGCUUACCAAGGCGACGAUCCUUAGCUGGUUUGAGAGAAUGAUCAGCCACACUGGGACUGAGACACGGCCCAG